CGUGUAGGCGGAUAUAUAAGUCAGAAGUGAAAUCCAAUAGCUUAACUAUUGAACUGCUUUUGAAACUGUAUAUCUGGAAUGUGGGAGAGGUAGAUGGAAUUUCUGGUGUAGGGGUAAAAUCCGUAGAGAUCAGAAGGAAUACCGAUUGCGAAGGCGAUCUACUGGAACAUUAUUGACGCUGAGACGCGAAAGCGUGGGGAGCAAACA
rnacentral:rRNA from 1 species